rnacentral:lncRNA from 1 species
UCGAUUGAAAAGCGCAUGAGAUAUAUUAUCUAUUACCAUCAGAACAUAGAUAACAUACUCACAUGGAAGAUUAUCCACAACCGGUUAUUGGGUUAAUAAAGGAUAAAUCGACCGAAAAGAAAGGACAUCGAGAUACCGAAUACUGGGUAUAUAAUGAUGACCGGUCAACGGGGAGAAACAAUCAUUACCGAACAAGGGUAAAUGAAAGAUGACUCGUUAGGGAUACAUUGAC